UGUACAGCUUCAGGAACUCCAGCUCCCAGGGGCUGAGGCAGCCAGGAGGGAGGACUGUUUCCUGAGGUCCAGCAUAGAAGCCCAGGCUUCAAGCUGGAUGUCAACAAUGACACUGCUGUCCUGUGGCUGGUUCAUGGAAAGGAACUGGGCCAGGCCUACAGUACCUCUGUGGUGGAAGACGUAACCUUGGUCUGAGCUGCAGCACUGUGGACAGAACCAGGGCCUUGGGCACACUAGGCAAGCAAUCUACCAUUGAGCUGGUGCCCUGAGCCGCAACCUGGGUCAGGGACUUUAUAAACACCAUGCCAUCAUCUCCUCAAUGACACCUGUCUCUCCUGACCGCAGCUACUCUGGACAGAACUGGGGAUCAGCACUGGACCAGGUCCAAGGACGCAGCACAGAGCCUGAGAGCCACAUUGCCUCUACCCACCCAGCCCCCGCCUGCAGCCAUUGGCUCCCUCUGGGGAACACUGGGCAUCUGACUCAGCACUCGCUCAGCUGGGUGUUCACUCGCUGCCCGGUGUGUCUGUGCUGACUGUGGAGACGAUGGAACUGACCUCUGUUUGUUUAUCAUCCUUGAACUCUCCCUGUUUACCUCCUCCAGGAAGCCUUCCCAGAAUGCCUCCCGAGGGACCAUACAGUGCUCCUUCCUGUGCAAACAGUAGAGAGAAUGAGCAUCUCUGCGGGUAUCACUACAGCUUUAAUGAGCUCUGAGCCCCCUAGCUGCUCCCCCAAGGCUCUUCAGAUCCCCAAACCACCUGAGACCAUAAUCUUGCUCACCACAGUGCUGGGUGCUGUCCGCGCAGGGCAGCCUGGCAUUCAGGGACACAGGCUUAGUCUUCAAAACUGGAGACCUCCAGCCUGCUGGCUCCAUAUGAUGGACACACCUGCACCCAGCUUGCAGAUGGAGGAGGCGUUGUGGGUGGUGAGGCUGAGGGACACCUGGAACCCUGCCUUGUCGCUGUGUAGGCUCUUUCUAGGAACUUUACAAGCAUUAAUGCUUCUUCCUCCUUUCCCACCCUCCCUGCUUCCUCCCAGUGCAAGGGCUCGAACUCAGGGUCUCAAGCUCCGCUUGGCUUUCUUGCUUACAGUUGGUGCUCUAACUGUUGAACCACGCCUCCAGCCUGGAAUUUUGCUGGUUCAUUGGAGUUGGAGUCUCAUGGACUUUUCUACCCAGGUUGAUUUCAAAUCAUAAUCCUCCAGGUUUCAGCCUCUGGAGUAGCUAGUUCUACAGACAUGAGACAGCAAGCAGUGACCAGCCUCAAACUCUAACUCUUAGUUAUGACAUCUGCCAAGUAAAAGAUGUCCUUGUUUUACUGAGGAUGUUACCCUAUUAUUAUCCUAUUUCACAGACAGGGAAGGGAUGCUAGAGAUGCUAAGUGCCCAUUAGAAGUGAGAGCAUGGAGAGUUGGGUUCAGGACCUGGGCCACUGGCCCAGAGUCUCUUCCCAGCCUCUACCCUGCACCGCUGUCUGAAAGUCAAGUCUAUGCCCACCAAUUCACACUCUCCUUGAGGUUGUGAAUCACACAUUUCUCCUUACAGAAGCCAUGGGUUUGGGUGGAAAAAAACACUGAGAGCGUAUAUGUGGGCUUUGUGAAUGCAGAUAUGCUGCCUGUGUGUAAAGGUUGUGGCUCCUUAAAUAUCACCAGUCUAUAAAUUAGGAAACAGUA